UCAGACAUGGUCUAGUGAUAACACGGCCUCUCUCAAUUCUACUCGAAGCUGCAAUUUCCUGAGGCAGUCCUGGGUUCGAAUCCAGUGUCUGAA